rnacentral:SRP_RNA from 1 species
AGGGCACUUCUGCAUCCUCUAGUGCCAUCGCAGAUGGUGUCAAGGCUGAAGGCGUUGUCAAGACCGAGGAAGUGGAGAAAAACUUGAAGGAGAUCAAAGAGAACGGCACGGGAGAGGCGAAGGCUCGGAAAUGGAGCAAGGAGGAACUCCUCCACG